GACGAACGCUGGCGGCGUGCCUAAUACAUGCAAGUCGAGCGGACGUUUUUGAAGCUUGCUUCAAAAACGUUAGCGGCGGACGGGUGAGUAACACGUGGGCAACCUACCUUAUCGACUGGGAUAACUCCGGGAAACCGGGGCUAAUACCGGAUCACAUCUAGCACCCCCUGGUGCCGGAUUAAAAGAGGGGUCCUUUCUCUAACGCUGCGAUGGGCGCGGGGCGCAUUAGCUAGUUGGAGAGGUAACGGCUCCCCAAGGCGACGAUGCGUAGCCGACCUAAGAGGGUGAUCGGCCACACUGGGACUGAGACACGGCCCAGACUCCUACGGGAGGCAGCAGUAGGGAAUCUUCCGCAAUGGACGAAAGUCUGACGGAGCAACGCCGCGUGAGUGAUGAAGGGUUUCGGCUCGUAAAGCUCUGUUAUGAGGGAAGAACACGUACCGUUCGAAUAGGGCGGUACCUUGACGGUACCUCAUCAGAAAGCCACGGCUAACUACGUGCCAGCAGCCGCAGUAA
rnacentral:rRNA from 1 species